rnacentral:misc_RNA from 1 species
GAUGAAGAACGUAGCGAAAUGCGAUAAGUAAUGUGAAUUGCAGAAUUCAGUGAAUCAUCGAGUCUUUGAACGCACAUUGCGCCCCCUGGUAUUCCGGGGGGCAUGCCUGUCCGAGCGUCAUUGCCGCCCUCAAGCACGGCUUGUGUGUUGGGCCCCCGCCCCCCGGCUUCGGGGGGCGGGCCCGAAAGGCAGCGGCGGCACCGCGUCCGGUCCUCGAGCGUAUGGGGCUUCGUCACCCGCUCUGUAGGCCCGGCCGGCGCCCGCCGGCGACCCCAAUCAAUCUUUCCAGGUUGACCUCGGAUCAGGUAGGGAUACCCGCUGAACUUAAGCAUGUCAAUAAGCGGAGGA